AUUAAACGCUGGCGGCAUGCCUUACACAUGCAAGUCGAACGGCAGCACGGGGCAACCUGGUGGCGAGUGGCGAACGGGUGAGUAAAGCAUCGGAACGUGCCCUGGAGUGGGGGGAUAACGUAGCGAAAGUUACGCUAAUACCGCAUAUUCUGUGAGCAGGAAAGCAGGGGAUCGCAAGACCUUGCGCUCUGGGAGCGGCCGAUGUCGGAUUAGCUAGUUGGUGGGGUAAAGGCCUACCAAGGCGACGAUCCGUAGCGGGUCUGAGAGGAUGAUCCGCCACACUGGGACUGAGACACGGCCCAGACUCCUACGGGAGGCAGCAGUGGGGAAUUUUGGACAAUGGGCGGAAGCCUGAUCCAGCCAUGCCGCGUGAGUGAAGAAGGCCUCGGGUUGU
rnacentral:rRNA from 1 species